UCGUCUAAAAGCUGGACUGCACAGGCCCAGUCAUCGCAAGGUUUACACUCUAAAGCGUGACAAACCCAUUUCAGAUGCAUCUUUGAAACAAAAAUAAAUCUAAAGAAUUAAGACUCCUAUUCUCUGAAGAAAGCAAAACACGUCUUUUCACACAACCAGAUAUCAAAACCUGACACUUGGCCAAGAGCAAAAGGACUGUCUACCAUUUGGAGCAAGUGUAUUCUAUUCUACAUUGGGCACAAGAAUCUUUUAUCCUCAAUUUCAGAAAAAUGACAUUGGCUCUCGGAUAUGAAAUCGUCUCAUAGCUACCUAAAAAAGAUUAAAAUGU
rnacentral:lncRNA from 1 species